CACGUAGGGUGCGAGCGUUGUCCGGAAUUAUUGGGCGUAAAGAGCUCGUAGGCGGUGUGUCGCGUCGGCCGUGAAAACCUGCAGCUUAACUGUGGGCUUGCGGUCGAUACGGGCAUCACUGGAGUUCGGCAGGGGAGACUGGAAUUCCUGGUGAUAGCGGUGAAAUGCGUAGAUAUCAGGAGGAACACCUGUGGCGAAAGCGGCGCCACUGGACCACAACUGACGCUGGAGGCGACGAAAGCUAGGGGAGCAAACAGG
rnacentral:rRNA from 1 species